UGCGAGUCGAGAGGGUUCGGCCCUCGGCGUACUGCUCAGUAACACGUGGAUAACCUGCCCUAAGGAAGGGGAUAACCUCGGGAAACUGAGGAUAAUACCCUAUAGGAUACCGAUGCUGGAAUGCCCGGUAUCCCAAAGCUCCGGCGCCUUAGGAUGGAUCUGCGGCCGAUUAGGUCGUUGUUGGGGUAACGGCCCAACAAGCCGAUAAUCGGUACGGGUUGUGGGAGCAAGAGCCCGGAGUUGGAUUCUGAGACACGAAUCCAGGCCCUACGGGGCGCAGCAGGCGCGAAAACUUUACAAUGCGGGCAACCGUGAUAAGGGAACCUCGAGUGCCUGUACAUGCAGGCUGUCUGGGUGUCUAAAACACACCCAAAGAAAGGGCCGGGCAAGACCGGUGCCAGCCGCCGCGGUAAUACCGGCGGCUCGAGUGGUGGCCACUUUUAUUGGGCUUAAAGCGUUCGUAGCUGGGUUGUUAAGUCUCUUGGGAAAUCUGGCAGCUUAACUGUCAGGCGUCUAAGGGAUACUGGCAAUCUAGGAACCGGGAGAGGUGAGGGGUACUUCGGGGGUAGGAGUGAAAUCCUGUAAUCCUCGAGGGACCACCUGUGGCGAAGGCGCCUCACCAGAACGGCUUCGACAGUGAGGGACGAAAGCUGGGGGAGCAAACCGGAUUAGAUACCCGGGUAGUCCCAGCCGUAAACGAUGCGCGUUAGGUGUGUCGAUGACCACGAGUCAUCGAGGUGCCGAAGGGAAACCGUGAAACGCGCCGCCUGGGAAGUACGGUCGCAAGGCUGAAACUUAAAGGAAUUGGCGGGGGAGCAAAUCACUAGUGCGGCCGCCUGCAGGUCGACCAUAUGGGAGAGCUCCCAACGCGU
rnacentral:rRNA from 1 species